ACAGAGGAGCCAAGCGUUGUCCGGAUUGACUGGGCGUAAAGCGCACGCAGGCGGUGCGGCACGUGGGGUGUGAAAGCGGCCCGCUUAACGGCCAGGCGCCAUCCCAUACGGCGCGUCUGGAGUGAUGCAGAGGUCGAUGGAAUUGCCGGUGUAGUGGUGAAAUGCGUAGAGAUCGGCAGGAACACCCAGGGGGAAACCAGUCGACUGGGCAUCUACUGACGCUGAGGCGCGAGAGCGUGGGGAGCAAACAGGA
rnacentral:rRNA from 1 species